GUGGGUGUAGCUCAGGGGGAGAGCAUCGGUUUGUGGUUCCGAGGGUCGCGGGUUCAAAUCCCGUCAUCCACC
rnacentral:tRNA from 3 species